GUGAGGAAUCUUAGACAAUGGGCGCAAGCCUGAUCUAGCCAUGCCGCGUGAGCGAUGAAGGCCUUAGGGUUGUAAAGCUCUUUCAGGGGGGAAGAUAAUGACGGUACCCCCAGAAGAAGCCCGGCUAACUCCGUGCCAGCAGCCGCGGUAAUACGGAGGGGGCUAGCGUUGUUCGGAAUUACUGGGCGUAAAGCGCACGUAGGCGGACCAGAAAGUCAGGGGUGAAAUCCCGGGGCUCAACCCCGGAACUGCCUUUGAAACUCCUGGUCUUGAGGUCGAGAGAGGUGAGUGGAAUUCCGGGUGUAGAGGUGAAAUUCGUAGAUAUUCGGAGGAACACCAGUGGCGAAGGCGGCUCACUGGCUCGAUACUGACGCUGAGGUGCGAAAGCGUGGGGAGCAAACAGGAUUAGAAACCCGGGUAGUCC
rnacentral:rRNA from 1 species